rfam:Picea glauca, whole genome shotgun sequence.
GUGUGCCUGGCUCCCUGUAUGCCACAUACAAGGCCCAGUCAUAUGUUGAUUGGCUUCAUAGGUGGCUUACAAGGAGCCAAGCAUAC